CAUAUGGUAGGAGAGCGUUCCGUAAGCCUGAGAAGGUGUCUUGUAAAGGAUGCUGGAGGUAUCGGAAGUGCGAAUGCUGACAUGAGUAGCGAUAAAGAGGGUGAAAAGCCCUCUCGCCGAAAGCCCAAGGUUUCCUGUUCAACGUUCAUCGGAGCAGGGUGAGUCGGCCCCUAAGGCGAGGCAGAGAUGCGUAGCUGAUGGGAAGCAGGUUAAUAUUCCUGCACCGUCGUAUGAUGCGAUGGGGGGACGGAUCGCGGAAGGUUGUCCAGCUGUUGGAAUAGCUGGUUUUUGACUCAUAGAAGGCGCUUAGGCAAAUCCGGGCGCGUAAUUCAAGGGGUCGAGACGUGUGUCCUUGUGACACGAAGCAAUCGGAAGUGGUUCCAAGAAAAGCCUCUAAGCUUCAGUCAUACGAGACCGUACCGCAAACCGACACAGGUGGGCGAGAUGAGUAUUCUAAGGCGCUUGAGAGAACUCGGGAGAAGGAACUCGGCAAAUUGGUACCGUAACUUCGGGAUAAGGUACGCCCCGGUAGCUUGAUUGGUUUACUCCAUGAGGGUGAAAGGGUUGCAAUAAACUGGUGGCUGCGACUGUUUAAUAAAAACACAGCACUCUGCAAACACGAAAGUGGACGUAUAGGGUGUGACGCCUGCCCGGUGCUGGAAGAUUAAAUGAUGGGGUGCAAGCUCUUGAUUGAAGUCCCAGUAAACGGCGGCCGUAACUAUAACGGUCCUAAGGUAGCGAAAUUCCUUGUCGGGUAAGUUCCGACCUGCACGAAUGGCGUAACGAUGGCCACACUGUCUCCUCCCGAGACUCAGCGAAGUUGAAAUGUUUGUGAUGAUGCAAUCUACCCGCGGCUAGACGGAAAGACCCCAUGAACCUUUACUGUAGCUUUGCAUUGGACUUUGAACCAAUCUGUGUAGGAUAGGUGGGAGGCUUUGAAGCGGGGACGCCAGUUCUCGUGGAGCCAACCUUGAAAUACCACCCUGGUUCGUUUGAGGUUCUAACCUUGGCCCGUGAUCCGGGUCGGGGACAGUGCAUGGUAGGCAGUUUGACUGGGGCGGUCUCCUCCUAAAGUGUAACGGAGGAGUUCGAAGGUACGCUAGGUACGGUCGGACAUCGUGCUAAUAGUGCAAUGGCAUAAGCGUGCUUAACUGCGAGACCGACAAGUCGAGCAGGUACGAAAGUAGGACAUAGUGAUCCGGUGGUUCUGUAUGGAAGGGCCAUCGCUCAACGGAUAAAAGGUACUCUGGGGAUAACAGGCUGAUUCCUCCCAAGAGUUCAUAUCGACGGGGGAGUUUGGCACCUCGAUGUCGGCUCAUCACAUCCUGGGGCUGUAGCCGGUCCCAAGGGUAUGGCUGUUCGCCAUUUAAAGUGGUACGUGAGCUGGGUUUAAAACGUCGUGAGACAGUUUGGUCCCUAUCUGCCGUGGGCGUUGGAAAUUUGAAGGGGGCUGCUCCUAGUACGAGAGGACCGGAGUGGACGAACCUCUGGUGUACCGGUUGUCACGCCAGUGGCAUUGCCGGGUAGCUAAGUUCGGAAGAGAUAACCGCUGAAAGCAUCUAAGCGGGAAACUCGCCUUGAGAUGAGAUUUCCCGGAGCCUUGAGCUCCUUGAAGGGUCGUUCGAGACCAGGACGUUGAUAGGUCAGGUGUGGAAGUGCAGUAAUGCAUUAAGCUAACUGAUACUAAUUGCCCGUACGGCUUGUCCCU
rnacentral:rRNA from 1 species